GACGAACGCUGGCGGCGUGCUUAACACAUGCAAGUCGAACGGAAAGGCCCUGCUUUUGCCGGGUGCUCGAGUGGCGAACGGCUGAGUAACACGUGAGUAACCUGCACUUGGCUUUGGUAUCACUUCGGGAAACUUGGGCUAGUACCGUAUCUGCUCUCCUGCCACAUGCUGGCGCUUGCGCAUUGUCGGCGGUUGGGGAUGGACUCGCGUCUUAUCAGCUCGGUGCUGGGUAAGUGGCUUACCAGGGCUUUGCCGGGUAGACGGACUGAGAGGAUGACCGGCCAGAUUGGGACUGAGAUACGGCACAGACUCCUCCGGGAGGCAGCAGUGGAGAAUAUUGCACAAUAGGCGGAAGCCUGAUACAGCAAAGCCGCGUGCGGGAUGACGGCCUUCGGGUUGGAAUCCGCUUUCGCCUGUGAAGAAGCGUGAGUGACGGUAAUGGGUAAAGAAGCACCGGCUAACUACGUG
rnacentral:rRNA from 1 species